GGCAGCAGCAAGCUGAUUACACAGGGAAAAGCUUCUAUCUAAAUACACAUAGCAUAACAAUCACCCCUGGAAAAACUACAUGGCUUACCAAAAGAGGUCUCUCUGUUCACUGUCCAUUAUCUGUUGACUGAACUAGUUCAAAUGAAUAACAACCAUACAAACACAUAUAUACACAAAUAUACAUAUGCUUCAAUGAAAAGCAGGCAUGCAGCUGACAGCUCGGCAACCCUGAGCACAGAAUUUUGAAGAGAGAAUACACUAAAAGGGAAGAACAUAACUACAUGACAUCAUAAGAAGUCCUGAAUUAGAAGCGUAUAUUUGAAAGGUCAUGCAUCCUGAGCUGCCAACAGCUUAACAACCAGAGGCAGAGGCCAGCUUUGCCAGCUCACUGCUUCUACUCAUCUUUCAUGAUAGUAGCCAGGCUGAAUAUAGUUCCAGGAUGAUAAUGAAUUGGCUGGGCAUACUGUUUAUAUUAGUAUGUAUGUUCCUGUACUAAACCAAGCAUCAUGAGGCCAGCACUAUUUUGCCAUUUUUCAGAAAAAAAAUAUGAACCCUUCAAAACAUAGUAAGCCUUUUUUAAAGUAUAUAUUUGAUUUUGAAAUAAUCAAAAUAUAUGUAGGGAUAUGACUGCAUCCUAAGAUUUAUGAUAAGUUCUGAUGAGUAAUAUUUUCUUUCUACAUGCAAGGCAAAGUUAAUAGUAACUAGAAAGUCUUUAUUUGGCAUAUCAUAGAUUUCUGUCAACCAAAACAACUAACUCUGGGGAACAUAACGUUCUGACAACUUCAGAAGAGUUAAGUCACAGACAAAAGUUUAUUGG
rnacentral:lncRNA from 1 species